rnacentral:rRNA from 1 species
UACGGGGGGGGCAAGCGUUGUUCGGAAUUACUGGGCGUAAAGGGCUCGUAGGCGGCCAACUAAGUCGGACGUGAAAUCCCUCGGCUUAACCGGGGAACUGCGUCUGAUACUGGAUGGCUUGAAUCCGGGAGAGGGAUGCGGAAUUCCAGGUGUAGCGGUGAAAUGCGUAGAUAUCUGGAGGAACACCGGUGGCGAAGGCGGCAUCCUGGACCGGCAUUGACGCUGAGGAGCGAAAGCUAGGGGAGCGAACAGG